ensembl:lncRNA
GGCGAUAUAAAAGCAGGAGUCAGAGUAAACCACAACACUGGACGGACUUGUUGAAGAUAAGAAACAGUUUGCAAAUGAAAGGAGAGGAGGACACUGCUGGAGAAGAUGAUCUGCAGGAUCCUGCUGCUCAUCAUCCUCACCUCAUGUGUCUCUGGAUCAUUUGUAGUCAAUGUGACACAGACCUCCUAUCAGGCAGAGGAGAAGCACAACAUCACACUGGAGUGGACGUUCACCACCAAACCUGACAGAUCCUGGACCUACAUCUUCAUCCUCUGUAACCUGAUAACUGAGGAUAACGUCUCAGUCCUGUAUCAUGUUCUUGAAGGUGUUGAGGUGUCAGAGUCUCAGGAUGAAAAGUUUUCAGGACGAGUCCAGAGUGACAAAGACGCCCUCAGAGAAGGACGAAUCAGACUUCAGCUGUCCAGACUGAGGACUGAUGACUCGGGUCUGUACCUGUGUGAGGUCAACACUGAUUAUGGCUUCAGUGUUGGAAGAUGUCAACUCAACGUCACUGCAGUGCCAGAUUGUCCCGAAUGUGAGAGAAAACUGGACACAUCAAACACAGAAACUCAACAAUUCGCAGGUGAUAUUAAACUGUCAAUGGUGAGACGUCCCUUUUCCCAGAGUUGAACACCAUAAAGGUAAGACUCAUAUAAGCUAAAAACUCCAAUAUUUAAAUGAAAUCUGUUUAACAUCCUGAUGGAUGUACUCAUGGGGGUUCAAAGCUGAUAAAAACUGCAUUUUAAUUGUUAUUUAACAGACAGUGCAUUAGGACACAUGCUGGCCAGAGAAUAAGUGUCAUGAUACACAAUAAUGGACAUCAAAUUGAUUUUUUUUAUCUUCGUUUUUUUGUUUGUUUAUUUGUUUAAGACACAUUAUCAAAUUGUCACUCAUCAGACAGAUGAUGAAAUGUGCACUGUGUUCACUUUACUGUAAUCACACAGGGAAACACCUCUACCUCACGCACCACGUGCAGCAGAUAUAAAUUCAGUGUUUAAUGUGUUUACUGUUGUAAUGUUGAAAGGAUUCAGAUUAAUUAUGUUAACAAUGAAGAUGAUCUGACGUGUUGUAAACUGUCAUGGAGUUGUGUGUAGCAAAGGACAUUAUACUUAAUAUUAUGUACAUAUUAUGUAAGUGCACACAACAAACAUCUCUACAGCUUCACUUAUAUCUGUGUUAAAGUUGGAGUUAAACACAGCUGGUAGAGCUCCUGUAGCUCUCAGUCUAAUGUACAAAAAUGCCUGUUCCAAAAUCUCCUGAAGUAAAGGUUUAAUGACUUAUUUUGUAAAAUGAAGUCAGACUGUUUGUGUUUCAUUUACUGUUUUCUCCAUAUAAUACAAAAAACACAGAAAGCCAUAAGGGCUGCUACUAGCUGCAGUCUAACAUAAAGAAAUGAGGCCACUGUUUGGUGAAGGACAUCAACAUGUGUAUCAUAAAUGUUUAUGGAAUUGGUUUACACUGAAAAUUAAGCUGUAGAAUAUCUGAAUUUCACCUAAUAAUGUUUGUUUCAAUACACAAUAGAUUUAUAUAUAGUACACAUAUUAGGAAAGAAAAGACCUUGCCAGGAACAUGGAGCCUGCAGCUAUCAAAUCAGUCAUGGUCUGUGUUCACUUUGAAUAUAUAGACCCGAGUCAUCAGUCCUGAGUCUGGACAGUUGAAGUCUGAUUCGUCCUUCUCUGAGGGCGUCUUUGUCACUCUGGACUCGUCCUGAAAAAGUUUUCAUCCUGAGACUCUGACACAUCAACAUCUUCAAAACAUGAAACAAGACUUAGUCUUUAGGACCAGUUUUCAGGCCACAGAGUAUGAAGAUGUAGAUCCAGGAUCUGUCUGGUUUGGCUGUGAACUAUUGGCCUGCCUCUUCUUUUGUUUCUUUUGUUUCAGCCAAUAGCUCUUUGAGAAUCGCCUUGUUCCUGCAAAAAAAAUUCUAUUUUAUGUUUGUCAAACUCUGCCAUCUUUGGAUUUUUUUGUAGAUUCAACUUAAUGGGGACAGGUGUGUUUUGUCUUGUAACAGACUGCCAUAUAUAAAUUGCCUUAAUAAUUUAAAAUUAGUUCUUUUGUAAGCGGUCUGUUAUCCAUAGACAUAGCAGUGGUUCAUCCCCUGAGUUAGGUGACUGUUUAAUGUUUGAAUGAUCCAUAGGUCAGUGUUAAAUAGAAACAUUAGAUACCAGAAAUGUCCUAAAAAAAAGUAAAUUUAUUGAUGCAUAAUAUUUUUGUGUAUUUUUCCUUUCUCUUUCUUUAUAUAUUUUUAUUUUUUAUUUAGAAAAUUGUUUGUUAUUUCCAUAACGCUUCUGGUCCAUCAGCUGUCUGAGAGAAAAGUAAACUCUUAUAUAAAUAACAUGGCUAAAUAUGUUAAAUAAGCAGAAAGACCAAGCUUUGAAGAAUGAAGCAAUUAAGUGGUUAAAAACUCCUGCUACAUUAUGAGCUCUAAACUGAAAACUUUGACAGUUGCAGAAGAACAUGGAAAUAAAUUGGCAGAGAAUGAAUUUGGCAUUGACACAGUAAACAAGUCAUCUUUAUUUUAGUUAAAUAAUAAUGUGCGUGCUCACUGAGAAGCUAAUGCUGAAAGCUGAGUUGGAAGUUGGAACAAAUCGUGGAGUCAAUAAUGAACGUUAGUGAAAGAAGUGCAGUGAAUUUUUGAAUAUACAAAAGCUUGUAUUUAAACAAAGAUAUUUUUGGUUUUAAUCUAACAUGAAGAAGAGAAUCUACGAUACUUCCUUAUAGAGAACAUCUUUAGUUGGCUUUAAUUGUAUGGUUUUUUUUUGUCAGAAAACAUUCAGAUUGAAAGCAGCAACAUAAAACAUAGCAGAUGAAGUAGUUCAUUUUAAAAGAGGACCUCCUAUCUUAUGUUUUCUAAAAGACUGCACAAGACCCUGAACAGCAACAAUGAUCAAAACUAUCAUGCCACUAACUAUUAAAAGUGCACUCUCUAAAACUCCCAGAACAAUUUUAACUUGAUCCCAGUAGUUCUUAUUUCGACUUUCAGCACCUGCAAGAAGAAAAAACAGAUGAAGUUAGAAUCCUCUUGAUCAAGAUCAUCCCAUAUCACAGCCUCGCACUUCCGGCCUUCUUGGUCUUCGAAGGACCCGGCCAACGUAGACUGAAGGCCGGGUCCUCUGAAGGAUGCAGCCUAUGAGUUGGCACAUAGCUGUUAUUUCCCUCUGAGUUACUGAUUCUGUCACUAUUUAGCUAGUCUAUAAGUUAGUUUAUUAGCCGGAGCCAACCAACCAACCACAUAAUGUAAUGCUCUGUACUGACAGAAGAUGGUGCUACACACGUCUUCAAAACUUUAAUUACUUAUUUCUUAAAUCCAGCUUAACAGACAGUGUUACAUCUAUCUCAUUUUUUGAGAGCAUGGCUGAAUGAUGUAAAUUAGCCUUUAUAUUUGUAGUGUUUCAUGUCCUCUUUAACAGAGGGAAUAACACAGGGGGAUAAGAAGGAGGAAAACACUCAGGUGGCUUCUUAAACUCCAUAAAUACAAAUACCAAGAAUAAGUAAAAUAUAACUAUAACUAAAGUUUAAAGAUAAAGUUAAAAAUAAAGAAACUACAAACAAAUAAAAUUAAGAAGUAAAUAGAAAACCCUUAAUAAUAAGCAAGAAUGUUAACCCAACAAACUGUCAGUCCAGGCACGGAUCACAACAAUUAUAUUUUGGAACUAUUUUUCAGCCAUGACUAGACUCAUAAACAGCUGUAGGGUAAAUUUUACAGGACAUAAACAAAUUAAAAAAAAUCAGACAAAUAAUAGAAAUCUCCACAUACUGCUCAGUGUGACACUGAUAAUAAUCCUUUAAAAAAGGUGAAAUAAAUAACUUACCAGAAACACUGACUCUGCAUCUGGCAGAACUGAAGCCAUAAUCAGUGUUGACCUCACACAGGUACAGACCCGAGUCAUCAGUCCUGAGUCUGGACAGUUGAAGUCUGAUUCGUCCUUCUCUGAGGGCGUCUUUGUCACUCUGGACUCGUCCUGAAAACUUUUUAUCCCGAGACUUUGACAACUCAACACCAUGAAUGACACGAUAGAGGACAAAGUGUUCAUGGCAAGCUAUAAGGCAACAAAUGAUGGAAAGAGUUUUGGUUGAUCUGUCAGGUUUGGUGGUGAACGUCCACUCCAGUGUGAUGUUGUGGUUUUAUAAUUAGUCAUCUGUUGGCAGAUGAUGGAAGCAGAGUUUGUGGAGUUGUCAGGGUUGGUGGUGAACGUCCACUCCAGUGUGAUGUUGUGGUUCUCCUCUGCCUGAUAGGAGGUCUGUGUCACAUUGACUACAAAUGAUCCUGUUGAGGAGACAGAGAGGGAAAGAG